rnacentral:pre_miRNA from 13 species
UGUUGUUCCUGUGACUCAGAACUGGAGAGGAGGCAAGAUGCUGGCAUAGCUGUUGAUGUGAGAACCUGCUAUGCCAACAUAUUGCCAUCUUUCCUGUCUGACUGCAGCCACAGCCACGU